GAUGAACGCUGGCGGCGUGCUUAACACAUGCAAGUCGAACGGGAAUUAUUUUAUUGACACUUCGGUCGAUUUAAUUUAAUUCUAGUGGCGGACGGGUGAGUAACGCGUGGGUAACCUGCCUUAUACAGGGGGAUAACAGUCAGAAAUGGCUGCUAAUACCGCAUAAGCGCACAGAGCUGCAUGGCUCAGUGUGAAAAACUCCGGUGGUAUAAGAUGGACCCGCGUUGGAUUAGCUGGUUGGUGGGGUAACGGCCCACCAAGGCGACGAUCCAUAGCCGGCCUGAGAGGGUGAACGGCCACAUUGGGACUGAGACACGGCCCAGACUCCUACGGGAGGCAGCAGUGGGGAAUAUUGCACAAUGGGGGAAACCCUGAUGCAGCGACGCCGCGUGAAGGAAGAAGUAUCUCGGGAUGUAAACUUCUAUCAGCAGGGAAGAUAGUGACGGUACCUGACUAAGAAGCCCCGGCUAACUACGUG
rnacentral:rRNA from 1 species